rnacentral:lncRNA from 1 species
ACAAAACUGGACUCCUUACCAUGUGGUAUCUUCAGUCAAGAAAAUUGGGGUGCCAUUUUAAUAGCAAAAAGAGGCUAGAUUCUGGUCACUUAAUGUGAAGAACUGUCAGGAGUUAGUUGCAAUCUCCAUCUUUCUGUGAACAUCUGAAGUUGUUCAUCAAAUUAGAAAUACUGAUUCCACACCUUAGUACCAUAAAAUUAAAUAAUGUAAACCUUCCUAUUUUAGCAUAAUACUACUGGUUUAUAAAACUAGAAGUAAAAUUUUAAAUGUAAAUAGAAAAUUAAGAAAUAGUGAAUUCAACAAAGACAGAACAGGGGACACCAUAAGAAAUAACAUGUAAAGGGAGUUGGUGGUACAAUUCUUCUCUUAAGGAGCUUGCAAGCCAACAGACCAACUACAUGCACAAUUAUCUAUAUGAUCAUAAACCAAUGUCAAUCGAGUACUGUUGGUAAUCGCAUACAAUACAGGAUACAUGCUUCCUAUAUAAAAAGCCGUUGGUAUUGGCCAUUUUUGGCCAUUGGCCAUUACACUGUGUAAAUAAACAUAAGCUAUUGUUUGACAAAAUUGAUAGGUACUUUUAUAGUUAUGAAAAAUCAGAGUUGUGUGCUGCCUUUGGUUUUCCUGAGGCAAGGACUUGGUUGUAGGUAGUUUAGGCAGGAAGUGAUCCUAGGAAGCAUGAGCGAGGGAGCAAGGAGAGCAGGUCAGGAGAAGUGGAAAAGCCAAUCAAGCACCAUCAUUAGCAAUCCCUGUGGGCAACUGGGGCUCACUCCAUCCCACGGAGGACCCUCUAAGGAACCACGCAAAAUAUGCCUCAGAAUUGUGCCCCACAAUUUUGCCUCCCAAAGAUGGAAAUCUGGGGCAUUUGUCCAGAGCCUCUUGUCCACCCAAAGUUGCAAGGUUUCCUGGGAAGUGAUAACUCUUCUGCACUUCUAAGCUGUGCUUGCACAUACUUUCAGCAGAUUUUGAAGAAGAAAACUCUAGAGCAGAAAAGAGGAGGGAGCCUGCAGCAGAGACGGGGGUCAUGUGUGGGGAAUGAUCACUUCAGCCACUGUGAAGUCAGGUGGGCUGAGCGAUGUGCAACCAGGCACAGAACAGAAAGACAGCUUGGGAGUACAGCUAUUUGGGCAUCUUGAAGAAUGAUCUUUUCUCCAAUUAUUGCUUGAGCCUGCUGAAUUCAUGAGUGUGCUGAAUGAUGGCUUAAUGGCUUGAACUGCUCUUAAUACAAGGUAGUGUUGGUAUUUACCAUCAUAUAAUUUACUGCCAUACAACAGAUGACUUUAAC